rnacentral:rRNA from 1 species
UGGGUCCCCCCCACCUGUCUAACUUGCCCUCGAGACGGGAACGACCUCCCCAAAACUGAGGCUAUUAUCCGAUCUCUGCGGAGACCUGGAAUGGGUCUUUGCCUAAAGGCGCUUACGGCAUGCUUCUAGGCGUGGCCCUACGAUGGGGUCGCGGCCGAUCAGGUCGUUGGUGAGGUAAUGGCUCACCAAGCCUUUAACCGGGGGGGGCCGCGACAGCGGGAGCCCGGAGAUGGGACUGAGACAAGGGCUCCUACCCUACGGAGCGCCCUCACCUCUAAAACUUCCCUAUACUGGAAAGUGUGACGGGACUAUCCCCAGUGCUAUCCGAUGAGGAUGGCUUUUACCCAGCAUACAUAGUUGGAGGAAUAAGGAGAGGGCAAGACUGGUGUCCACCCCCGCCGCCAUACCUACUCUCCGAGUGGUGUGCAUGGCUAUUGGGCUUGAACUUUCCGAAUUCUUUUGGCUGAGGCCCCUGCUAAACCCACCGAUCUACUCGUUGGCUUGAUCACGAUACUGCUCGUUUAGGGGGCGGGAGAGGUGCUCGGUAUUCUCGGGGUAGGAUUGAAGUCCUAUAAUCCCGGGAGGACCUCCUGCGCCGAAACUGCCGGCUAGAACGCGCUCGACGGUGAGGGAUGAAAGCUGGACCAGCUCACCGGAUUACAUAUCCUAUGAGUCCCAGAUGUAAACGAUGCAGAGCUAGGUGUUUGCGCUAGCAUGUGCCGCUCUAUCGCCGCAUUCACACUGUUAUCCCUGCCCCACUGGGUAGUACGGACGCGAGGCUGAGACUUAUAGUAUCUGGAGGGAUGAGCAC